AAGUGAGUUUAAAUGAGAAUCCGAAGGGAAUUCAGUUUGCUACACUUCUUGAGUUACAAGUUUGUCAAGGAGGUGGUAUACAUAAUAUAGAUGAUAAGAAGUUCAAGGUUCGGAUUGGGCUGAUCUUUAGGCCCACCACUUGGAUAACUAUCAGAAUCUUUUCUAUCGUGCCUCUCUGCAGCUUUCAAAAAGUUCGAAGGGCAAUUUAGGGGAUGGCUCUUUGGAGAUGAAGGAAGUUAAAUCUUCUACAAAAAAAAUCACAUUUUAGUAAAAGCAACGAUGGUGCAGUUUCAACUGCUGAGCGGGUGAAAUCUUUUCAAACAGAUGAAGAUCCUUCUUGCAGGGUAUUUGCUUAUUUCUUCUUCACGACCCGGAAGUCAGGUGUCAAUCCUGCAAGGUAUAUUGAGCCAGCAUGAGAGCUGAAACAGGGGACGAGAGUCAAGAAUGAUCAACAACAUGGAUAACUGCUUUGUGGGGGCUUCUUCAUAAUAAUGAGCAUGCUUAUAGCAUGAAAAGCAAUGUGUAUUAACUAAGUGGAAAGUUAAGUCAAUUCACUCACGAACAAUUACAUACCUAUUUACAAAGGUGUUAGUUAAAGUGACUGUCUUCCUUCAUUAAAUAUAUAAAGAAUUUUUGUAUUAGAAUUUUUAUUACAAUCAUCAAAAAUCAUACAAAUUCGUAUUAGAA